rfam:Dipodomys ordii contig_17651, whole genome shotgun sequence.
GGUGGCUCAGUGGUAGAGUGCUUGCCUUGCAUGCAUGAGGUCUUGGGUUCGAUUCCUCAGCACCA